rnacentral:rRNA from 1 species
UACGUAGGGUGCGAGCGUUGUCCGGAAUUACUGGGCGUAAAGAGCUCGUAGGUGGUUUGGCGCGUUGUACGUGAAAGCCGGGGGCUUAACCCUCGGCGUGCGGGCGAUACGGGCAGACUUGAGUACUGCAGGGGAGACUGGAAUUCCUGGUGUAGCGGUGGAAUGCGCAGAUAUCAGGAGGAACACCGGUGGCGAAGGCGGGUCUCUGGGCAGUAACUGACGCUGAGGAGCGAAAGCGUGGGGAGCGAACAGG